rnacentral:lncRNA from 1 species
ACAAGGACAAAUGCAAAGUGCUCCACUUAGGAAGGAAAAAUCAGUUUCACACAUACAGAAUGGGAAGAGACAGUCUAGGAAGAAACUGGUAGGAAAGUAACAGAAAGCUCAGUAACACCUCCUGGUAAGAAAGGGUGGAGUAGAGCUGGGUGAAUAUUUCAUGUUUGGUUUGCUGGCCGUACCCAACACACAAAUUCACGUCAACUUGAAAUAAAAAAAACAACACCAUUUUCAGUAAACCAAAAAGUAAAAUAAAUAAUUCCUUUUGCAUUGAAUGAAACUUUGUUUGACCUAAAACAAAAUGUUUAAUUUCAGCUUUGAGUUUUUAAAAACAUUAUCUUUUUUUAAAAAUAAAAUGUAAUUAAGUUGUAUAACAAAAAGCUGCUUCAUAUAAAAAAAGUUGCAACAUUUCAUUUUGAACAUAUUGAAACAAAUCACUUUCUUUUUUCUUUACCAACUGAAACAAUUCAACGCCCAUUUGCAAAAUUUUCAAUGGGCCUGAAUCUGCCUUUUUUCAGUGGAAAAAUCUUUCGGUGCAAACAGUUUGCCCAAAUGUAGUCAGGAAGUGAGAUGCAAUUCCACCCUGCUUGCUAAGGCUGGAAAGUAACAGAUCGAAAGGACACUUUUUUUGAAUGGUUGGUGACACUGACAACCCCUGUUUCUUAGGGUUUCCAGAUGUAUUGGUUACACUGUAACCUCCCUGACUUCAGCAGCUGGAGCUACAGUUUCAUCUUGAAGGCAGAAGUAACUGAAAACCUGCAUAUUGGCCUGUUGCAGACUACAAAUGUUACUGAAUUACUUUCACUUUCAAAAUAAUUGUUAUUUCCGUAAGACUUACAAGAAACAGAAAGAGAACAAAGAAAUCACAUGUUUUGGGAAGGCAAUACAAAUACAGCAUAUAUAGACAGACAUGAAACAGAUGCAUUUCCUAUGAAGAUAACAUGCACACCCAGGCACCUUUACGGCCAGGGAAUCUGAUACAAGGAUAAGCCAUAAAAAUGAAAUGCGCAGAAUGCGACGGCAAAUGCCUGGAAGGAGGGACACACUGUCCGGAAUGUCAGCAGGCUCUGAAGUGCCCAGAUGGGUCGCAGAGUCAGACAGAAGGAACUAAACCUUUAGAACUAGAUACAAAUGAACCAAACCCUCUAAGUGCAGGACGGUCAGAAAACGCCCCUGCUGAACAGGAUACAGGACCUGGACUCCAGCCACCAGCGGAUUCUGCUGAAGCGGCCAAUGAGGAACGCAAGGUCGGAGCUACAGACCAAGCCACUGGAGAAGCGGAGACAGAGGAGCAGAAAGAGGGGAAAACACCGGAUAGUAGAGGAUCUGGAAGUUUAGAACCAGAAAUAAAUGAAGGAAAUGAAGAAAAUGAAGGAAAACCUGAGAGUCCAGGACUUUUGAAAGGUGUCCUGUCUGGGCAGGAAUCAGGACCUGGAUCCCAGCUUCAGGCAAAAACAGAGGUAGGAGUUAUUUCCAGGUUUAUGUUUUAAGUCAGCUUAAACAGCUGUUUGGUGGCAGCUGGGUGG